GGUGAUCGGGCGAUGAGUAGCGACUACAGCAUGUAAACAGGAACUAGCGACGCUGUUACAUCACACGGACUACGUAUACGGCGAUACACCAGCAGGUGGGGCAUUGCGUAGUACAUACACUACAUAUGGCCUGUGAGCUGCGUCAAGUGUAACAACUGAGACAACAGGGCAAUGGGGAACCUCUGGCUGGUACUGCUGCUGACGAUAUGUCUGACAGAAGUGGCGCAUGGAUUCUGUCGGAUAGGCAUAGUCUGCAAUGAGACAACUGAAUACUGCUGUGGGCUGGGCAGAUCCCAACGAUGCUGUAGGAAUGGGGAAGUUGACAAUACGCCGCUGAUCGCCGGGGUGAUUGUUGGCGUUGGCUUGGGACUGGUCGUCACAGGAAUGGUCAUUUUCGUUUGUUAUAGACGGCUAAAACGACAUCAUUAGAACACUCCCUUCAAACUAAGACACCCACAUGAGAGAAGCGUGAAAAGAGACCCAGAACGUGUCAGCGGUUUCCGGUGUACCUGUGAUGGAGAAAGUCCCCCUGGGGAUUCUGAAUGUUUCCUCAGCACCUCAUCCCGCGUAAAACAUACUGAAGAUGGAGAUCAGCUUUGUGACAAGAUUAUUGUGUGUCAUCUUACCCCACUGGCGUGGAUCGCUCCUUCUGUGUCCAGUCACUGGCUCGUCUGGUCCAGACGCGAUCACUUCCAGGAGCGGUAUUCGCAUAGCUUCUUAGAAUUUCUUUAACCUUAAGAAUUCUUAAAUCCACAAAGAAAUCUUAGUUUCCCUAACAACCAACUUAUAUUUUACGUAAUUUCUAAAGUCAUAUUCACAUAGCUUCUUAGUGCUCACUUAAGUCCUUAACAAUUUUCUUAAGACAUUCAAUAUGGCUGCCAUAGGUAUACUACAAACCGCCGCCAGACGAGAUGUACUUCAAAGAUAUUCUGAUAAAGUUCUGAUAAAGAACUAAUACAAUACAGGUUAAACAAAAGUGGUAUGGAAUAUGUGGCUUAAUAUAUGUUAAGACCUGUGAAGAUCCGGGGCAAAACAGGUCUUCAGAGACCAUGCUUAUCGUAAGAGGCGACUAACGGAAUCGGGUGGUCAGGCUCACUUGUUGAUGCAUGUCAUCGUAUCCCAAUUGCGUGGAUCGAUGCUCAUGUUAUCAAUCACUGGAUUGUCUGGUCCAGACUCGAUUAUUUACAGAUCGCCGUCAUAUAGCUAGAAUAUUGCUGAGUGCGACGUUAAACAACAAACGAUCAAAUAAUAUCUGAUUAAAAAUGUCCCAGCACCUCUCGUUCUCAUGCGAUGACAGGAUCUGAACAGGUUUCUGCAAAUACAAAGCUGUGAUAAAGUAUUGCUGAGUCUCUCUCACUGAUCCGACACCACGCGGUGGAUGUUGUUAAUGCUGUGUACGCCGACGGGUGUUUGUUUUUUUCAAACGCAAGGGUUGAUAUGUGGACCUGUAGGUCCGUCGGUAGUCCUGCACCAUGACCGUGGAAUAUAUUUAUUUUUUGAAAAAAUAAUAAUCUAGAAAUGCAUACAAAAGCAAGUCUAGCCAGUUCAAGCUAGCUCUAAUCAGCAUAGGGAAUUUUUUUAUUUUUAGAGUCAAGAAGGAUAUUGUGUAAUAUAAGAUUUCAGAGACUAAAUGUUAGUCUAGUCCGUGGGCUGUCAUUAAGCCUGUAAACACAACUAAUCGUAAUACUACGUCUCUGUCUCUUUGUAAAUUGUAAUGCUUGAAAGUUUUGUUUGUAUAUACACGUACGUUGUAAAUGUUCUUGUCUGUGUAAAUAAAAUACCAAAAUGUU